rnacentral:rRNA from 1 species
GUGGGGUAAUGGCCUACCAAGGCGACGACGGGUAGCCGGCCUGAGAGGGCGAUCGGCCACACUGGGACUGAGACACGGCCCAGACUCCUACGGGAGGCAGCAGUGGGGAAUAUUGCGCAAUGGGCGAAAGCCUGACGCAGCGACGCCGCGUGAGGGAUGACGGCCUUCGGGUUGUAAACCUCUUUCAGCAGGGACGAAGCGAGAGUGACGGUACCUGCAGAAGAAGCACCGGCCAACUACGUGCCAGCAGCCGCGGUAAUACGUAGGGUGCAAGCGUUGUCCGGAAUUAUUGGGCGUAAAGAGCUCGUAGGCGGCCUGUCGCGUCGGCUGUGAAAACCCGGGGCUCAACCCCGGGCCUGCAGUCGAUACGGGCAGGCUAGAGUCCGGUAGGGGAGACUGGAAUUCCUGGUGUAGCGGUGAAAUGCGCAGAUAUCAGGAGGAACACCGGUGGCGAAGGCGGGUCUCUGGGCCGGUACUGACGCUAAGGAGCGAAAGCGUGGGGAGCGAACAGGAUUAGAUACCCUGGUAGUCCACGCCGUAAACGUUGGGCGCUAGGUGUGGGGGACCUUCCACGGCCUCCGUGCCGCAGCUAACGC